CCUACGGGGGGCAGCAGUGGGGAAUAUUGGACAAUGGGGGCAACCCUGAUCCAGCCAUGCCGCGUGUGUGAAGAAGGCCCUCGGGUUGUAAAGCACUUUCAGUGAGGAAGAACGCCUGGUGGUUAAUACCCAUCAGGAAAGACAUCACUCACAGAAGAAGCACCGGCUAACUCCGUGCCAGCAGCCGCGGUAAUACGGAGGGUGCGAGCGUUAAUCGGAAUUACUGGGCGUAAAGCGCGCGUAGGUGGCUUGAUAAGCCGGUUGUGAAAGCCCCGGGCUCAACCUGGGAACGGCAUCCGGAACUGUCAAGCUAGAGUGCAGGAGAGGAAGGUAGAAUUCCCGGUGUAGCGGUGAAAUGCGUAGAGAUCGGGAGGAAUACUAGUGGCGAAGGCGGCCUUCUGGACUGACACUGACACUGAGGUGCGAAAGCGUGGGUAGCAAACAGGAUUAGAUACCCCAGUAGUC
rnacentral:rRNA from 1 species